UACAGAGGUCCCAAGCGUUGUUCGGAUUCAUUGGGCGUAAAGGGUGCGUAGGUGGCGUCGUAAGUCAGGUGUGAAAUCUCGGGGCUCAACCCCGAAACUGCACUUGAUACUGCGAUGCUCGAGUACUGGAGAGGAGAUUGGAAUUUACGGUGUAGCAGUGAAAUGCGUAGAUAUCGUAAGGAAGACCAGUGGCGAAGGCGAAUCUCUGGACAGUUACUGACACUGAGGCACGAAGGCCAGGGGAGCAAACGGG
rnacentral:rRNA from 1 species